rnacentral:rRNA from 1 species
CCUACGGGUGGCAGCAGUGAGGAAUAUUGGUCAAUGGACGAGAGUCUGAACCAGCCAAGUAGCGUGAAGGAUGACUGCCCUAUGGGUUGUAAACUUCUUUUAUAUGGGAAUAAAACGUUCCACGUGUGGGAUUUUGUAUGUACCAUAUGAAUAAGGAUCGGCUAACUCCGUGCCAGCAGCCGCGGUAAUACGGAGGAUCCGAGCGUUAUCCGGAUUUAUUGGGUUUAAAGGGAGCGUAGGUGGAUUGUUAAGUCAGUUGUGAAAGUUUGCGGCUCAACCGGAAAAUUGCAAGUGAAACUGGCAGUCUUGAGUACAGUAGAGGUGGGCGGAAUUCGUGGUGUAGCGGUGAAAUGCUUAGAUAUCACGAAGAACUCCGAUUGCGAAGGCAGUUCACUGGACUGCAACUGACACUGAGGCUCGAAAGUGUGGGUAUCAAACAGGAUUAGAUACCCGAGUAGUC